CAGAGAGAGGGUCUCCUGUCCUGAAGUCACAGCCCGGAUCUCCAGGCUGGCUCUGCUGCCUCUGAAUGAUUUGUGGGUCACACACGCCAACAGCAUCGCCAAGGGCUGACAUCAGCCUGCUUGAGCCACGGAAACUGAAUGGGCAAGGAUGAGUUCCCCAGCACAGAGGGAGGCAUCCUCUGUCAAGACCAUCUGCGCAUGUGCUGUGCAGUCUCCAGUCUGCACUGUGAGCAGUGUGUCUCAACGGCUUUUGAGAACUGCUUCGAGAGGGGACCAGAUGCGCAGAGACAAGCUUCCAGCCUGGCUAGGGACGGACCCUCUGGGGAUGCUCCUCUCUGGCCGGGCAGCAGUAGAAGCACCUGCCUCCAUCCACAUC
rnacentral:lncRNA from 1 species